rnacentral:misc_RNA from 1 species
AAAAAAAAAAAAGAACAAAAAAAUAAUAGGAAAAUUACUAUAAACCCCCUUGGCAUUAUGUAAAAUUUGCGUUCACUUUCUUUUUUUUGGAAAGUGAAUAAGUUGUCCACUUUAUUCCUUCCAUUGCAUUUUAGUCCCUCAGUAAAAUAACUUCUUAGUCCCUCAUAUUCAAUUUUUACUAGGGAUGAAAAUGUAAUUUUAUUUGAAAACUCUAUGGCUAAAUGUGAUCCAAAAUAAAAUCUUAGGGACUAAAGUACAUGAUUUUUUAAAUGAAAGACUGAAGUGUUAUGAAAUUAAAAUGUUGAGGACCAUUUAAUUCGAUUUUAAAAAAGCAAAGACAUAGGUGUGAAUAUUGAUAAAUGUCAAGGAUAUUUUAGUAAUUUUUUCAAAAAUAAAAUAUUUAUUGACAUUUGACUGUACAGUAGAAAUAGG